GUGACUGCGUACCUUUUGUAUAAUGGGUCAGCGACUUAUAUUCUGUAGCAAGGUUAACCGAAUAGGGGAGCCGGAGGGAAACCGAGUCUUAACCGGGCGUUAAGUUGCAGGGUAUAGACCCGAAACCCGGUGAUCUAGCCAUGGGCAGGUUGAAGGUUGGGUAACACUAACUGGAGGACCGAACCGACUAAUGUUGAAAAAUUAGCGGAUGACCUGUGGCUGGGGGUGAAAGGCCAAUCAAACCGGGAGAUAGCUGGUUCUCCCCGAAAGCUAUUUAGGUAGCGCCUCGUGAAUUCAUCUCCGGGGGUAGAGCACUGUUUCGGCUAGGGGGCCAUCCCGGCUUACCAACCCGAUGCAAACUGCGAAUACCGGAGAAUGUUAUCACGGGAGACACACGGCGGGUGCUAACGUCCGUCGUGAAGAGGGAAACAACCCAGACCGCCAGCUAAGGUCCCAAAGUCAUGGUUAAGUGGGAAACGAUGUGGGAAGGCCCAGACAGCCAGGAUGUUGGCUUAGAAGCAGCCAUCAUUUAAAGAAAGCGUAAUAGCUCACUGGUCGAGUCGGCCUGCGCGGAAGAUGUAACGGGGCUAAACCAUGCACCGAAGCUGCGGCAGCGACGCUGAUGCGUUGUUGGGUAGGGGAGCGUUCUGUAAGCCUGCGAAGGUGGCCUGUGAGGGUUGCUGGAGGUAUCAGAAGUGCGAAUGCUGACAUAAGUAACGAUAAAGCGGGUGAAAAGCCCGCUCGCCGGAAGACCAAGGGUUCCUGUCCAACGUUAAUCGGGGCAGGGUGAGUCGACCCCUAAGGCGAGGCCGAAAGGCGUAGUCGAUGGGAAACGGGUUAAUAUUCCCGUACUUGGUGUUACUGCGAAGGGGGGACGGAGAAGGCUAUGUUGGCCGGGCGACGGUUGUCCCGGUUUAAGCGUGUAGGUGUGUGUUCCAGGUAAAUCCGGUUCACUUUAACACUGAGGCGUGAUGACGAGGCACUACGGUGCUGAAGCAACAAAUGCCCUGCUUCCAGGAAAAGCCUCUAAGCAUCAGGUAACAUCAAAUCGUACCCCAAACCGACACAGGUGGUCAGGUAGAGAAUACCAAGGCGCUUGAGAGAACUCGGGUGAAGGAACUAGGCAAAAUGGUGCCGUAACUUCGGGAGAAGGCACGCUGACACGUAGGUGAAGUGAUUUACUCAUGGAGCUGAAGUCAGUCGAAGAUACCAGCUGGCUGCAACUGUUUAUUAAAAACACAGCACUGUGCAAACACGAAAGUGGACGUAUACGGUGUGACGCCUGCCCGGUGCCGGAAGGUUAAUUGAUGGGGUCAGCGCAAGCGAAGCUCCUGAUCGAAGCCCCGGUAAACGGCGGCCGUAACUAUAACGGUCCUAAGGUAGCGAAAUUCCUUGUCGGGUAAGUUCCGACCUGCACGAAUGGCGUAAUGAUGGCCAGGCUGUCUCCACCCGAGACUCAGUGAAAUUGAACUCGCUGUGAAGAUGCAGUGUACCCGCGGCAAGACGGAAAGACCCCGUGAACCUUUACUAUAGCUUGACACUGAACAUUGAGCCUUGAUGUGUAGGAUAGGUGGGAGGCUUUGAAGUGUGGACGCCAGUCUGCAUGGAGCCGGCCUUGAAAUACCACCCUUUAAUGUUUGAUGUUCUAACGUGGACCCGUGAUCCGGGUUGCGGACAGUGUCUGGUGGGUAGUUUGACUGGGGCGGUCUCCUCCUAAAGAGUAACGGAGGAGCACGAAGGUUGGCUAAUCCUGGUCGGACAUCAGGAGGUUAGUGCAAUGGCAUAAGCCAGCUUGACUGCGAGCGUGACGGCGCGAGCAGGUGCGAAAGCAGGUCAUAGUGAUCCGGUGGUUCUGAAUGGAAGGGCCAUCGCUCAACGGAUAAAAGGUACUCCGGGGAUAACAGGCUGAUACCGCCCAAGAGUUCAUAUCGACGGCGGUGUUUGGCACCUCGAUGUCGGCUCAUCACAUCCUGGGGCUGAAGUAGGUCCCAAGGGUAUGGCUGUUCGCCAUUUAAAGUGGUACGCGAGCUGGGUUUAGAACGUCGUGAGACAGUUCGGUCCCUAUCUGCCGUGGGCGCUGGAGAACUGAGGGGGGCUGCUCCUAGUACGAGAGGACCGGAGUGGACGCAUCACUGGUGUUCGGGUUGUCAUGCCAAUGGCACUGCCCGGUAGCUAAAUGCGGAAGAGAUAAGUGCUGAAAGCAUCUAAGCACGAAACUUGCCCCGAGAUGAGUUCUCCCUGAGACUUAGAGUCUCCUGAAGGAACGUUGAAGACGACGACGUUGAUAGGCCGGGUGUGUAAGCGCAGCGAUGCGUUGAGCUAACCGGUACUAAUGAACCGUGAGGCUUAACCUUACAACGCCGAAG
rnacentral:rRNA from 2 species